GGGGAUAUAGCUCAGUGGUAGAGCAUAUGCUUAGCAUGCACAAGAUUCUGGGUACAUCCCCAGUACCUCCA
rnacentral:tRNA from 1 species